UUUAUGAAAUCCAGUGGCAAACGGGUGAGUAACACGUAAACAACCUGCCUUCAGGAUGGGGACAACAGACGGAAACGACUGCUAAUACCGAAUACGAUUCUUGAGUCGCAUGACACAAGAAAGAAAGGGUGGCCUCUACAAGUAAGCUAUCGCCUGAAGAGGGGUUUGCGUCCGAUUAGGUAGUUGGUGAGGUAACGGCCCACCAAGCCGACGAUCGGUAGCCGGUCUGAGAGGAUGAACGGCCACAUUGGAACUGAGACACGGUCCAGACUCCUACGGGAGGCAGCAGUGGGGAAUCUUCCGCAAUGGGCGAAAGCCUGACGGAGCAACGCCGCGUGAGUGAAGACGGCCUUCGGGUUGUAAAACUCUGUGAUUCGGGACGAAAGAUAAGUAGACGAAUAAUCUGCAUAAGUGACGGU
rnacentral:rRNA from 1 species